GGCGGCGUAGCUCAGUUGGUAGAGCAGGGGACUCAUAAGCCCUGGGUCGUAGGUUCGAGUCCUACCGCCGCUAC
rnacentral:tRNA from 1 species